GUAGUCCUAGCCGUAAACUGUGCACGUUUGCUGUGAACGGAAUCGACCCCGUUCGUGGCGAAGCUAACGCGUUAAACGUGCCGCCUGGGAAGUACGGUCGCAAGAUUAAAACUCAAAGAAAUUGACGGGGGCCUGCACAAGCGGUGGAGUAUGUGGCUUAAUUCGAUGCAACGCGAAGAACCUUACCUGGCCUUGACAUGUACGUAGUAGAAGGGUGAAAGCCUGACGAGGUAGCAAUACCAGCGUACACAGGUGCUGCAUGGCUGUCGUCAGCUCGUGUCGUGAGAUGUUGGGUUAAGUCCCGCAACGAGCGCAACCCUUGCGUCCUGUUGCUAUCUGACCGAGAGGUCGGAGCACUCUGGACGGACUGCCUCGCUUCAACGAGGA
rnacentral:rRNA from 1 species